GGCUGCUGCUGCUAAUAUUUGGAUUUGGGCACCGCGCCGCCGCCAAUGCUAGCUGCUGCUGUCUUGCUCCGCCGCCUCCGGACAUCACACUGGUCGUCCCGACUGCCCAAGCAGGUCGAGGUCAUCUGUGCUUGUUUUCAGAGAUGAACGCUGGGUGUUCGUCAGAAUGCCUGCGUGGCCUUUAGCUGGGACUCAGAUAGAGAAGCAUGCAGCAGCUCCCUCCCGGCGGUGGCCUGACUGCCUGCCGUCCCAGACCAUACAUUUUCAUCUACUCCAAAUGGUACACGGGACUGAAGGCUGGACAUGCAUGCAGUUUAAUUUUAAUUUUGCUAAAUUAUUUUGAGAGUUUGCUCACCAGGAGAAAAAAAAAGACUGCUAACUCCGUAUGUAAGUAUAUCGCAGCUGCUCGGUGAGCCACAUGCAUGCAAUGCCUGCAAUAAUGCUUUCAUGUAAUUUGUGGUGCCAAGAGCUUAGCGAGUUUAUUUUUCUGGAACUUUCUAAUUAAUCUAUUUGUGUUUAGAUAAAGGGCUGCCGCCGGUAAUAAUUUACA